UACGAAGGGUGUAAACGUUGCCCGGAUUUAUUGGGCGUAAAGUGUUUCGUAGGCGACUCAUCGCAUCUUGUUUUAAAGCUUCUGGCUCAACCAGAAAAAAGGACAAGAGAUGGGUGAGAUUGAAGGUUGUCGGGGUCACUGGAACUGUCGGUGUAGGGGUGAAAUCCGUCGAUAUCGAUAGGAACUCCAAAGGCGAAGGCGGGUGACUAGGCAAAUCUUGACGCUGAUGAACGAAAGCUAGGGGAGCGAAACGG
rnacentral:misc_RNA from 1 species